rnacentral:ncRNA from 1 species
AUAUAACCGUUGAUAAAGCACAGUAGUUAAGAGUACACAUGGAAAGAGAAGAGUUGCCUAGGCUGGAAGCACUCUGCAUGAUGACUUAGCGAAUGAACACUUUGUAGGUUUCUUCCUGAAAAAGUCGCGAUAACGAUAUUUAGUAGGGGUAGAACGUAUAACAGGCGUUAACUGUUCUUAAGUGGAAGUGUAAACUUCAAUUAGGGUGGCACCACGGGAAACAAAACUCUCGUCCCUUGU